UUGCUUGAUUGGACACCAAAUCUACUAAAAUUGGAACAAUACUGAAAAGAUUAGCAUGGUCC
rnacentral:snRNA from 1 species